UCGGUUUGCGACAGAGGCCGCGGCUCCCAGACAGGGGAGCCGAGAAGCGGGGAUCCGCCGCCCAGCGCUCGGCCCUCGGGCCCGCUCUCCGCCAGCCCGGAAGGUUUCUUCCUUCUCCGCGCGUCUCGCCCGCGCCGCAGAGUCUUGGCAAGGGAUCCCGGCGGGUGUGUGAGCCCGGGAGCAGCGGAGCCCCGCGCGGCCACGACUCCCCAGCGUGAGGGCGGAAGGGGACGCCGAGCAGCUGCUCGCUAUGAGGAGGGCGGCGGGCUUCGGGCAGAGCGGCCGCGUCCCGCGGGCGUGAGCGCCCACGAGCCGCCGCAGCCGCCGCGGGGACGGCCCCGACCCCCCUGCGCUUUCGGCCAUGAGCUCUCGGUGAAUACGCGGCGUGGGCAGUCGUGGAGCAGACGCUUCGAGAGGUAACGCUGGCUCAGGUCUGAGUGGCCUGCGAGAGUGAAAAAACCCUAACAUGGAGGACUUUUCCACCAGGACCUAUGGCACCAGUGGCCUGGACAACAGACCUCUGUUCGGAGAGACGUCGGCCAAGGAUCGAAUCAUCAAUUUAGUUGUUGGCAGCUUAACAUCCUUAUUGAUUCUAGUAACGCUGAUCAGUGCUUUUGUUUUCCCUCAACUACCUCCAAAACCUUUGAAUAUAUUUUUUGCUGUCUGCAUCUCUUUGAGUAGUAUUACUGCCUGCAUUCUUGUGAGUACUAUUUAGAAUUUAAAAUUGAGUAUCCUUGAGGGCUGAAGGUUGCAGUGUAUACGUAGGACAGAUUCCCAACCUUGGGUCUAUAAGAAAUGGUGUGUCUAGUUACCCGUCCCCACCUCAAUGCAAAGGAUGUCGGAAGUCUUAGUAUUAAUUGGCAGAUUUUUUGUUUCUGGAAUCAGGAGUUGUUAAUUCUAAAGGGAACCUUUGAAAGUUAAAAAAAAAAAGUGGGGAGGGGAAAAAAGUUAAGACUUGGGUGGCCAAAGCUUUAGUUUAAUUUACCUAAUACAUCGUCCUUCGAGGACUGCCUACAGGCCCAGCAGGAUUUGGCAAAUGCUAUUACUGCUCUAAAGGGAAGAGAUACAGCGUUCUGGAUUUACUUCUAAUUACAGAAUUAGUCUAUUUUAAUCUCUGUGCUUAUCUCCCCAAAUGAAAGUAAUUAACACCAAGAACCUCCUGGGAAAUCUUAAGCUACAGCUAGCUAUAUCCUUGUCGCAAGAAUGUACAACUAUUUAGCAUAAAGAUGCUUUUCCUUUACAUAAAGAAACAAAUACGAUGAUAGAUCCUCACUUAGCUAUUUGUCAAUUGUUUAGUCAUUAAUUACUUGGCUGUUGUUUUAUUUCCCUUGAGGAGAGGUAGAAUCAAAACUAUAAACCUUUAAAAGCAGUAGUUUUGACUCACAUAGGGCUUACAUCACCAUUGUAAUGUGCUUAUCUCAUUAUUUUUAUUCUGCUCUACUCCUUUGCUCUGAGAAAGAGUUGGCCCAUCUAAUUCUGGAGUCUUUGGAACAAAACUACCAGAGAUGGCCCUUCUUACUCCCAGCCUAAAGCCAGGAGUGACUAACAUGAUCUAGUUUUGUAUAAAAACUUACAAUGUAUUGGCAACCUGACUCUGUAGUUAAAGGAAUUUAAAAGUUGUCAUCCCUUCCAGGACCAAAGAGACCUGUACCUUUUUACUCAAAUACAUUUAAAACAAGACCUACAAAGUAUACAUUCUUGGAUGCCUUGUCAGUGAUUGGAUGACUACUGGUUUGAACAGAAAAAAGAUCUACUGGUAUCGACAAGGAGACUUAGAACCGAAAUUUAGAAAUCUAAUUUACUAUAUCUUAUUUUCUAUCAUCAUGUUAUGUAUAUGUGCGAACCUGUACUUCCAUGACGUGGGGAGGUGAGGCUGCCAAGGAGAAAUACUUACCAGGUCUCUUCAAAGCUAUACAUUAGGACUGUGAGUCAGAGCCGGGUAAGCUAUGCUUAAGAAUCUCCUGCACAAGUCUGAUACAUGAUUUUCAUGUUAAUUGUAAAUCUAAAAUUCCCUCUUGCAGGGGAGACAUAGCCUAG